GACGAACGCUGGCGGCGUGCUUAACACAUGCAAGUCGAACGAAGUGGCGAACGGGUGAGUAACGCGUAAUCAACCUGCCCUUCAGGGGGGGACAACAGUUGGAAACGACUGCUAAUACCGCAUACGGAAGGAGGGGUUUGCGUCUGAGUAGCUAGUUGGGGGGGUAACGGCCCACCAAGGCGAUGAUCAGUAGCCGGUCUUGGAGGAUGAACGGCCAAAUUGGGACCGGGACACCGCCCAGACUCCUACGGGAGGCAGCAGGGGGGAAUCUUCCGACAUGGACGAAAGGCUGACGGAGCAACGCCGGGGGAGUGAUGACGGCCUUCGGGGUGUAAAGCUCUUUUAAGCGGGACGCGGUACCGGAAUAGAAAGCCACGGCUAACUACGUGCCAGCAGCCGCGGUAAUUC
rnacentral:rRNA from 1 species